rnacentral:lncRNA from 1 species
GCACUCGGUAGGUGAGAGGUGCCCGUCGAUCGAUGGGAGGUGAGGGCGGUCGAUCGAUAUCAGUUUCUCUAUGGCGGUCGAAUGCUGGCUCAUACCGUCGAUCGAUUUUGACGUAGAAAAGGGAGGGUGGGUGAGGAUGUUUUUCUGCGAAUUCCUCAUGAGUCAUGAUCCGAACUGCACUACACUCCGCAGUCGAUUUAGCAGGUGACGUCGAUCGAUGGUUAGAGUAAUCCGUUGAUCGA